AGUGAACGCUGGCGGUAGGCCUAACACAUGCAAGUCGAACGGCAGCACAGUAAGAGCUUGCUCUUACGGGUGGCGAGUGGCGGACGGGUGAGGAAUACAUCGGAAUCUACUUUUUCGUGGGGGAUAACGUAGGGAAACUUACGCUAAUACCGCAUACGACCUACGGGUGAAAGCAGGGGAUCUUCGGACCUUGCGCGAUUGAAUGAGCCGAUGUCGGAUUAGCUAGUUGGCGGGGUAAAGGCCCACCAAGGCGACGAUCAGUAGCUGGUCUGAGAGGAUGAUCAGCCACACUGGAACUGAGACACGGUCCAGGCUCCUACGGGAGGCAGCAGUGGGGAAUAUUGGACAAUGGGCGCAAGCCUGAUCCAGCCAUACCGCGUGGGUGAAGAAGGCCUUCGGGUUGUAAAGCCCUUUUGUUGGGAAAGAAAGGCAGCAGGUUAAUACCCCGCUGUUCUGACGGUACCCAAAGAAUAAGCACCGGCUAACUUCGUG
rnacentral:rRNA from 1 species